AGGAACUUAGGCUAAUGCAGACCAAGGGCCUUCAAAGCCUUAAGUAGGAGUUAAAAUCUUCUAGUUUCUG
rnacentral:tRNA from 1 species